CAUUUAUUUUGAGUUGGUAUUAGCUCUUACCAUAUGUUAGAGAGAAGAAGAUUUUUUUAGUGAUUUUUAGAGCGAAUCGGUUGAACUCGAGAUGUUCGGAACCACUCGGAACUAUUUCAAAUGUUUACUUCCGUUUGUUUCUCGAUUACAAAACUUUUUCAAGUUAUCCGUGAUUAUGCGUAAGUUUGUUUUAUUUCGCCCAUUUUUGUUUCGCUAUUGUCAAGAACACAAGCAAAAUGGUUUAUAGUUGUUGCGUCCAAGGAUGUAAAACUAAAAGCGGCGAGAAUAUAAAGAUGAGAAAAUUUAUUAAUUUUCUUUAGACUCGAUGGAUCAUACACGAGUAAACGUGAAACAUCUAUGAGUAGAGAGUAUGUGGACAACAUUGGAGAGACUCGAUGGAUCAAAUACUCAUGUUUGAACCAUCUAUGAGAAUGAAGUAUAGGAUGUGGACCCUCUAUGAUGAUGGAGUAUGUGCACAAGGACCAUCUAUGAUGUAAUAUUCUU